rnacentral:lncRNA from 1 species
CACGGUCUUUAUCAAAGGCAAUAGUUCAUAUAGAAGCUUCUUAACCGCCUCGUGUCGAGGCACAUUUUGAUUCAAAAUUAACUCAUGAUAGAUACCAGGAUUAAAAUUUUGUAUUUGCGCCAGACGCGCGUUUCGACUCCCCAUGGCCAUUAGACAACAUAAUAUCUGUCACUUGAAAUUAUUUUCUUUUUGUACACUUACGAUUUUGG